rnacentral:rRNA from 1 species
CUAAGGCUGAUGGCGACCGGCGCACGGGUGAGUAACACGUAUCCAACCUGCCCUUUACUCGGGGAUAGCCUUUCGAAAGAAAGAUUAAUACCCGAUGGCAUAAUGAUUCCGCAUGGUUUCAUUAUUAAAGGAUUCCGGUAAAGGAUGGGGAUGCGUUCCAUUAGGUUGUUGGUGAGGUAACGGCUCACCAAGCCUUCGAUGGAUAGGGGUUCUGAGAGGAAGGUCCCCCACAUUGGAACUGAGACACGGUCCAAACUCCUACGGGAGGCAGCAUG